AAAAGAGAUUACAUUCUAGCAAAGCAGUAGAGAUCGGAAAGAGCUUUAUAAACUUGGAAUAUUGAUGGCCAUCACAAUAGGAUGAGUAUAUAUUGUUUCCCUUCGUCACAUACAAGCGAAAUUCACUUGCCUUCUGCGCUUGAAAUAUGUAUAUCUCGACGAUAUUCACCGCCAUAAUUUUGUGUCUUGUAUACGUUUCGACUCACAAGGGAGCCUUAUGUACAUAUACAAACACAUGGGCUAUCGAGACGGACAGCGAGGAAAGCGCGAAGCGGAUAGCAAAGAAGUAUGCUUUCGACUACGCUGGGAAGAUUGGCGCUUUGGAUGGCUACUUUCUACUCGUUAAAAAAUCAGUACCUCGACGGCGCCGAAGAAGCGC